UACGUAGGGUGCAGGCGUUAAUCGGAAUUACUGGGCGUAAAGCGUGCGCAGGCGGUUUGCUAAGACAGGUGUGAAAUCCCCGGGCUUAACCUGGGAACUGCGCUUGUAACUGGCAAGCUAGAGUGUGGCAGAGGGGGGUGGAAUUCCUGGUGUAGCAGUGAAAUGCGUAGAGAUCAGGAAGAACACCGGUGGCGAAAGCGCUCUGCUGGACCUUAACUGACACUGAGGGACGAAAGCUAGGGGAGCGAAUGGG
rnacentral:rRNA from 1 species